AUGCGGAGCCCCAAUGACAACCCGAAGAAGAGCUUAAACGAGAUUUCUUCAGUGUUCACCGCUCCGACGACGAUGAAGACGUCGUCGUUUUCUGAUUCGCAUAACAUCCAAGCCGAUGGCGUGAGUCCUUCAGCCUCCAACCGCCGGAAUUCUUUGUCGAUCUGGGCACUCCGAUCGGAUUCCCGGACAGCAGUUGGCAGGCAUAUGAAAUCAUAUUGCAUUCCAUACAUGUUGUUCCUUGGGGAUGACAUUUUGUUGAAUGUGGUUUGA